rnacentral:rRNA from 1 species
CAACUUUCAGCAGUGGAUGUCUAGGCUCGCACAUCGAUGAAGAACGCUGUGAACUGCGAUACGUAAUGCGAAUUGCAGGAUUCAGUGAGUCAUCGAAAUUUUGAACGCAUAUUGCACUUUCGGGUUAUGCCUGGAAGUAUGCCUGUAUCAGUGUCCGUA